UGAAUAUCUGGCAUUAACAUAUUUUCAUCUUGUAAUUUUCAAUGGACUUUCAUAUCUAAUUUAAUUCUCAUAGCCUUUUCAAAUAUGUUAAUAAUUCACUAUCUCUCAAUUAUAUUGAAAAGAACUUGAUUAUUUCAGGCCAUUUAGCCAGUCCAGGGUUGCAUAGCUCGGCAAUCAAAGAGCGAGGGCCAGAGAUUGGAAAUUCUGCAUCACUGGGCUAGAGCACUCUUCAAUAAACAAUUCCUUCUAAGAGAUGGAAAUGUGUCAGAGAUGGUGAAACUUAGGAAGAAGAUUGGAGUAAAUAAUAUAUUAUUUCCAAAAUCUCAACGUGCCAGAUUUGAUAUAAGGAUAUCAGUUUAAAACUAACUUCAAUUUUCAUUUAGUGCAUGAGUUAGAACAGGCAGGUUUACUUCUUUCGACACAGUAAUAGAGACAGUAUGUUGUGAUGAUUAAAAGCAUGGACCCUAGAGUCAGACUGCCUGAGUUUAAAUUUGGAUCUAUCACUUAAUAUUUGUAGCACUGUAGCAAAAUUUCAGUAGUUCUAUGGUUUCAUUUUCUGAUAUGUAAAUUACAUUUUAUAGGAACAUUGCCUGCAGGUAAUUAUGAGGAUUAAAUGAGCAAUUACACAUAAAAUAUUUUGAAGAGUGCUCUUCACAUAGCAAACAUUCAAUAAAUAUUAAGUAUUAUUAUUCAACCAUUGAGAAAAGUUUGAGCUUCCUUAGACAUUAGUAUUUAUUAUUUUAUUAUCAACCAAGUUUCUCUUUUUGCUCUAAAAAAGGGUUAAUUAAAAAAGAAAGCAUCAUUGAGCUACUCCAACUCUUUUGGAGUUCUCUUUUGCUGAAAUAUAUGUGGCUUCCUCCUUCGAAACUAUCAAUUGUCAUUGAGUGACCGUUCAUCUAUACAUGUCUACAAAUAUGAGACAUAAGAUUGUCAGUUGAUCUGGGAGUGGAGCAAUGGCCACUGCUGUGAAGGUGAGGGAAAGAUAAAAUUAUAUCCAGUGAUUACUGUGCCAUCAUCUCUUUUGAUAAUUAUGAAGAAUAACUAUUAAAAAGUAAGCAUCAAAGAAAAUCUUAUCUUAGGGACUAUGCUUAAAUAAGCUUGGGAUCUGAGUCCUAGGGAACAAUCACUUCUUUGUGCAAGCUGUUUUCUGCUAAACCCCUUAUUUCCAAUCACAGAAUUAAAGGCAAUAAAGAAAUCAAAUUAUAUGAAGAAUAUUUACCUGUAAGAAUCUUUCAAGGAUGUUACACACUUCAAGACUGAAAGAAACUUUCAGGAUUCAAAAAUGAAAUAUGAAAGCCAAAUGGAACAAUGGAAGGAGAAAAGAAUAGAAGAAACAAAAAAUUAAGUGGAGUCCAAAGAGGAGCCAAAGAAUCUGUUCUUCUAUGCAAUUUUCAGGCCAUAGAUCAAGGGAUUCAGCCUGGGAAUCACUGCAGUGUAAAACACCAUGGCUGCUUUGCCAGUAUCCACACUGUUGGAAAAACUGGGCCUGCAAUAAGUGAAAAGUAUGAUUCCCUGCAAGACAGCAAUCACUGUGUGGUGGGAGGCACAGGUAGAAAAGGCUUCGCACCUUCCCUCUGCAGAGCGUAUACUCAGGAUGGCGAUGAGAAUAAACCAGUAGGAAGUGAGGAUGAUCACGAUGGUGACAAUUUCACUGAAAGUGGCCCCAAUUAAUAAUGGACAUGACAUAGCAAGCAAGAGUAAAGAGAGGGGGUAAAUCACAAAAGAAGUGGUGACUACAUUUGACCUACAGGAUGGGAUUUCAAGAGCUAAACACAAGUAAACCAAAGAACACACAGUUCCACAGAUGUAGAAGCUAGAGACCAGGACCAUACAAAAUUUCUGGGACAUGGAGAGCAUGUACAGCAGUGAACUACAGAUGGGCAAAAAGCAGUCACAAGCCAUCACAGUCAGCAGGAAGACCUCAGUGACUGCACACAUGCAAAGCAAAUAGAAUUGCACCAUGCAUCCCAGGAAGGAAACUGAUUUUUCCUUGUUUAAGAUAUUGGAAAGCAUCUUUGGCACGAUGAUCACGGAAUUGCAAAAAUCCACAAAGGACAAGUGGGUGAGAAAAAAGUACAUGUAAGUGUGAAGUCCAGAGCUGACCUGAUUCAGUGCAAUCAUGCCCAGGUUGGCCCAAACUGUGACUCCAUAUACGAGAAGGAACAGAGGGAGAGAAAGACUCUCAGCUCAGGGUCAUGUGAUACUCCAGGAAGAAUGAACUCUGUCACAGUGGUACCGUUCCCCUCGCUCAUUUCCACCAUAUGUCAGGAUGGGAAACCAAACGAUGUUUUGCGUUUCUUCUAAAAAGAGAACAAGAGAGAAAACAACACAUUUAUAUUAACUUUGGAAAAAUAUAACAUUGACAGUGAUUUAAGAUACAGUUGUCAAAUAAUUCAAAAUUUUCAAUGUCUCAGUGGAUCUCACUGAUCAAAAUAAGUUUAAGUAUCAGCAGAAACCUAUAUGAUUCCCAACUGUUAUCUGCUAUGAUAAAUUGGGUUGAUGAAUUAAAUUAGGUGUUUUGUUGGAAUCUGAAACAGGUUCAAUGAUUUUACAGCCUCAUGGAGAUAAACUACUGUUCUUUGAAAAAUGUAGCAAUUUCUGUCCAUGUAGGGUGACAGCUAUUGUGAUCCUAUAUAGUGUACACUAUCUUUUUAGAUUAGUUUAUCAGUAGCAUAAAUUUUGCAGGGGGUGAGGAGGUCCUGUACAAUUUCCAUGCAGGGACUGAGACCAAUUUUUUUGAGCUUAGUGGCUCACAAUGAUUCUUUAACUCUAGAAUUAUGCAGAAUGAAAAAUAGAGAAUUAAAAUAUAUUCUAAAAGCCAUCAUCAUUUUUACUUAUCAAAUUAGCAAAGUAAUGUAGUUAAUUAUAAUGAUAAUAAUCUAUGUCAAUAAUGACUCAGAAAGAUGUAACUGUUGUAUACACUUUUCUGGAAAGCCAUUAGGCAACGUAUGUCCAAAAUCUUAACCCUGACGACAGUAAAAGCUAUACGAUAUUUUUUAUGAGAGGUUUUCUUCUUUUUUUUAAAUCAGAAUUUAAGUUUAAGUUUUUUUUAUUAUUUUUUAUUUUUUUAAAGAUUGGCACCUGAGGUAACAUCUGUUGCCAAUAUCUCUUUUCUCCCCCCCUUCUUCCUUCUUCUUCUUCUUCUCUUUCUUCUUCUUCUCCUCCUCCUCCUCCUCCUCCUUCUUCUUCUCCCCACAGCCCCUCAGCACAUAGUUGUAUAUUCUAGUUGUAAGUCGCUCUGGUUGUGCUCUGUGGGACGCCACAUCAGCAUGGCUUGAUGAGCUGUGCCACAUCCAUGCCCAGCAUCAGAAUCAGCGAAACCCUGGGCCACUGAAAUGGAGUGAGUGAGCUUAAACACUGUGCCAUGGGGCUGGCCCUGAGAUUUUCUUCUUGCCUGGGAUUCUCAGGUUCAGAUCCUGGAUAGGGACCUAGGCACUGCUUAUCAAGCCAUGCUGCGGUUGUGUCCCACAUACAAAAUAGAGGAAUAUUGGCACAGAUGUUAGCUCAAGGACAAUCUUCCUCAAGCAAAAAGAGGAAGAUUGUGCAUCCUGAAACUACUGUCACAAAACCUAUCUUCCUGAAGGAGAGAGUCUCAUGACAGAAAAACUAAAAAACUAUCUAUAAAGAGUACCAUUGGCAGUGAAGUUUCAUGUCAUCUGGGCCACCCACUCACAGGAGAGCUGCUUUGCUUACCUAUUUGUCUUAGAUUUAAAAACAUGGCAGGUUUUUUUAAAAACUAAUUUAAAAAUAAAUAUUUUAUUGAAUUUGAUUUCAUGGUCAUUAUCCCUAAAUUGAAUAACAUCAAUAUGAAGCUCUGAGUUUUGAUGAAAUGUAUUCAAAACACAUACGAUAGUGCUGUUUUAGUAAAAUAUUGUAUUGGCAAGGUUCAAUGCAAUCAGCAGUAUGUUAAAUUUUCUAAACUUUUUAAUUCCAUCUAUUUUUUGGAAGAUUAAUCCUGAGCUAACUGCUGCCAAUCCUCCUCUAUUUGCUGAGGAAGACCGGCCCUGAACCAACAUCCGUGCCCAUCUUCCUCUACUUUACAUGUGGGACGCCUACCACAGCGUGGCUUGCCAAGUGGUGCCAUGUCCACACCCGGGAUCCGAACUGUCGAACCCAUGGCUGGCAAAGCAGAACGUGGGAACUUAACUGCUGCACCACUGGGCUUGCCCCUAAUUCCAUUGUUUUAAUCAAGGUGCCUCCAAGUGGAAUAACAGAUAUACUUAAUUGUUAUAUGAUAAGAUGUGGAAGGUCUUUUGGUAACCUUUUCAGAAAUUAAGAAAGUGAGUGUUUCUAAUGAUUGCAGAACAAACCACUCCAAAACAUAUUAAUUAAAAUCAACAACUAAAGAUUAUUGUGAGAAAUUGGCACGUAACUUGGAUGGAGUUGAAAGAGUUGAGUGAUAUUCCUAUUUUAGCACAAUCUCUGACAGUUUCUAGUCCCAUUUCCAUUUAAUAUGACCAAGCAGUCUCCGUAUUUUCACCUAUUAAAAAGUGGAAAUAGAAAUGAUGCUGAACCCUCUUGCUUUCUAACAUUGUGAUAUCUUUCCAAGGAUACAUUAAUUAAUUGAAAUAAAUAAUCCAAACAUAUAUUCAUAAUAUUUCUCACACAAAGAAUAUUUCCAGGGCUCAGCCCCAUGGCUGAGUGGUUAAAGUCCUGCGCACUCCACUUCAGCGGCCCAGGUUCACAGCCCAAAUCCUGGGCGCAAAUGUACUCCAGUCCCCAACCACACCGUGGAGGUAACCCACAUACAAAAAAAUAGAGGAAGAUUGGCACAGAUGUUAGCUCAGGCUUAUUCUUCCUCAGCAAAAUAAAAUAUUUCCAAAAAUAUUUUUUCAAUUUUGAUUGAUUAUAUUUUAUCCAAAUUUGCAAUGCAAUUAUAUUUUAAUUAGUGGUAUAAUUAUUAUUGAAUCAUUACAAGGUUAACUUAAUACAGAAAGAAAAACUUUUGAUUUUGCCAAAAGCAUUAUGAAAUAAAAAGUAUGAAUCUGAUUAAUAGCAUUGUAGUGAUCAAUGGGAGGAGUAGGAUUGAAUGUAAAUUCAGGAGAAGGAAAGGCACAAACAUGACUGUUUUGGAUGUCAUUUAUUUAUGUAUUCUAAAUGGAUAUGCAAUGGAAAUUACAGUUUUUGUUAUUUAAGUUUAUGAUGAAAUAUUGUAUAUGUAAAAUUAAAUUCUUCGAAUAUAUACCUUUUCAAAACUAAUUGAGAAGCGUAUGACCAAAAGAUGUGAAGACUACUAAUAUGAGUCAUGUUGUAUAUAGAAGCAACAGAAUCUACUAUAAAGAAUCUGAACUGUCACAACCUGAUAAUGGAAAACAUAUUGUAUGCCAGUGUUUAAUGGAAAGUGUGCUUCUGAUAUGUCUGGAGUCUUGAAUGAUUUCAUGAAUUCUAUCAACAAUUGCUUUUACAAUGUUGGCGAGGUCACUUAAGCAUCAUAGGCCUUGGUUUCUUCAAAGUAAAGGCAAACGGUUUGUGGUAAUUCUAUCAAAAAAUGUGCUCAUCCUUGGUGCAAGCAGGACAGAAGUAAAAUAAACUUCUCUAAAAAAAGGCAUUAACCAUUACGGAUUCAGUUUAAGAUUAAUAUAAAUAAUUUCUUAAUUUCAAAGAAAAUUAGAAAUUGCAUAAUUGCUAAAUGUAUAACAAAGAUAAAUUUGUAAAUAGCUAGAGAAACAGAAGUCAAUAGAAGAGAAAAGCAUUCCCUCAUCAGACAUCCAAUAUCUAAAACACUAUUUUAUUUUUCCAUAUAGAAUGGUUAUUUAAUUGAUUCCUUAUUAUAUAAUGUAUAUGAAUGGAACAUUUCAAUAAUGAACAUAAGGUUAAAAUAACAUGAACAUUCCAAAUAACUUUAUUGAAUCCAUAUAAAAUUGUUCCCCACGUUAGAUUUUCUUCCUUACUAAAAUACCUGGAAAUUUAUUUCUUCCAUUAUAUUGAUGAUUAGUUUGGAAUUUUAUCUAGACAUAUUGAUUAAAGAGAAGGAGAAGGACGUAUAAUUUAUUCAAGCAUAAGUGAGUUAUUAAUGUUAAAGAAAUCUAGAAUUUUUAAUUUACCAGAUCAAAUAGGUCUUAAUAGUAAUGAAUGCCUGCUUUUCAUUUUAUUUUGAAUAAAGUUAUAUAGGUGAUUUGUUUCCAACACUUGAGGUGACUCCAGACACUUUUUUUUUUUAAGAUGGGAGUUCAAUUGAGAAGGAUUCAGAAAUUACCCUCAUGUUCAGGAAAAAGAAUCAAGGAAUUGAUUAUGGUUUUCAUGUGUUUAUAGGCAGAAUGAAAGUAUGAAGUACAGAUUGGGUUGAUACCGUGCUUACUUUUUGCCUAUAAGAUUUCUUGAGAGGCAAUCUAUUAUUUCUAUGCCUCUGGUGGAGUCUAUCACAGCUUAUCAUCCUACCAUACUUGAGCUCCUUUGAAACACAUUCAGAAUAAAGGCCGUGUCUUAUCAACUUUCCAUUCAUGCCAAGUAACCUGUAUACACAAUAAUAUACACACACAUGUGCAUGUCAUAAAGUAUUCACUCAAUAAAAAAUUUGGUUCAUCAUUGACUCAGUAUUGCAUUUUGACUUUGCCAUGCUU
ensembl:lncRNA